CUCGCUCCCGCCAGAGCUUGGGAUCAGUCUCUGCUGUUUUGAGUCCUCCACCUCGGGAGCCCCCGGUGACUGUCACAGCCUCUUGCCCUGUGAUCUGCAGGUUCUGGGAGACGCACAGCUAAGAUGCCAGGACAUCCUGGAAGCUGGGAAAAGGCAGAGUUUCACUCUCGUUGCCCAGGCUGGAGUGCAAUGGCGUGAUCUCAGCUCACUACAACCUCCACCUCCCAGGUUCAAGGGAUUCUCCUGCCUCAGCCUCCCAAGUUCUGACAACAAAGGAGAUUGUGACACAUUGCUGGGCCUAACACUAAGUUGAUGUUAGUUAUUUGCUUUGGCUGUGCCCUUGGAAGGCAUUGAGACAUACUGCUAUGCCCAGCACCAAGAUGAUGUAACGUGACUCUUCUGCUUCAGGCCUGCCAAAAGAAAAGAUUGUGACAGAUCACUGGACCCAGCACCUAGGUAGGAUUGUGACAUAUAUCUGGCCAAGCGUACAGAUGUAAUAAUGACUGUCAUACCUUGAAGAAGCCAAUAGGAGAGAGAAUGUUGCUCUCAGG
rnacentral:lncRNA from 1 species